rnacentral:rRNA from 1 species
GACGAACGCUGGCGGCGUGCUUAACACAUGCAAGUCGAACGAUGAAGCUGGAGCUUGCUCCGGUGGAUUAGUGGCGAACGGGUGAGUAGCACGUGAGCAAUCUGCCCUUGACUCUGGGAUAACUGCGGGAAACUGUAGCUAAUACCGGAUACGAGGCUCGAAGGCAUCUUCGGGUCUGGAAAGAAUUUCGGUCAAGGAUGAGCUCGCGGCCUAUCAGCUUGUUGGUGAGGUAAUGGCUCACCAAGGCGACGACGGUUAGUCGGCCUGAGGGGGUUACCGGCCACACUGGGACUGAAGCACGACCCAGACUCCUACGGGAGGCAGCAGUGGGGAAUAUUGCACAAUGGGCGAAAGCCUGAUGCAGCAACGCCGCGUGAGGGAUGAAGGCCUUCGGGUUGUAAACCUCUUUUAGCAGGGAAGAAGCGAAAGUGACGGUACCUGCAGAAAAAGCACCGGCUAACUACGUGCCAGCCGCCGCCGUAA